UACGUAGGGUGCAGGCGUUAAUCGGAAUUACUGGGCGUAAAGCGUGCGCAGGCGGUUUUGUAAGUCUGUCGUGAAAUCCCCGGGCUCAACCUGGGAAUUGCGAUGGAGACUGCAAGGCUAGAAUCUGGCAGAGGGGGGGUAGAAUUCCACGUGUAGCAGUGAAAUUCGUAGAUAUUCGCAAGAACACCGGUGGCGAAGGCGGCCUGCUGGGCAGUUGCUGACACUGAGGCGCGACAGCGUGGGGAGCAAACAGG
rnacentral:rRNA from 1 species